CCCCGAGAGCAAUCUUAGCCCAAAAAUGCAGAUUGCAUUGUUUGCUCUCGCGGACUCCAUUCCAAUGCACUUCUCGGAUUUCGUGCAUCCUUAACUUUUCCAAAGCUUGCCCAUUCGACCCUUAGUCGAUUCUAGACGAGGUGCAACCCUCGGAUUUCGAGAGUUCACAUUGUUACAAAUAUAGAGUUCGGCUACAGUGUUAUUGAUAGCACAAAGCACUUAAUCAUUUCUACUAAGUUUUUCACCGUUAAAUUGAUCCUUUUAACCAUUGUCACCGUUAGAUAAUAAUAUUCAACCCCAAGAAACUACUAUUAUAUUAAUCGCACAUCGCUUUAUUCAAAAGUUGAAAAUCUAAUAGCACUAAUAAUAAUUUGGUGCUAUUAAUAAUAGUAUUAUAGCCUAGUUUAGU
rnacentral:lncRNA from 1 species